ensembl:rRNA 5S_rRNA 5S ribosomal RNA
AUCUAUGGCCAUACAACCCUGAACACGCCCGAUCUCAUCAGAUCUCGGUACCUAAGCAGGGUCGGGCCUGGUUAGUACUUGGAUGGGAAAAGGAAAUACAGGCCAAUAUUACUG